UUUUUCUUUAAUCAGCUAAUCAUAACAUGAGACAAGUUCUUUACAAUCUGGAUAAAGAAAACCCUUCCCAUUUCUGUUUACCUUUACAGCAAUAUUUUGUUCUAGAUAUGACUGUUAUAAUCUCAGUAUAUUAACAACAGUGUA